ncrna:unclassified sequences L31-Actinobacteria ribosomal protein leader
UCGGUUCCGGUUCACGCCGAAUACCUCCACUUCGGGGAGGGGCGACCCGGGGCC